rnacentral:rRNA from 1 species
CCUACGGGUGGCUGCAGUGGGGAAUAUUGGACAAUGGGCGAAAGCCUGAUCCAGCCAUGCCGCGUGUGUGAAGAAGGCCUUCGGGUUGUAAAGCACUUUCAGUGGGGAAGAAAGCCUUGGGGCUAAUACCCUCGAGGAAGGACAUCACCCACAGAAGAAGCACCGGCUAACUCCGUGCCAGCAGCCGCGGUAAUACGGAGGGUGCGAGCGUUAAUCGGAAUUACUGGGCGUAAAGCGCGCGUAGGCGGUCUGAUAAGCCGGUUGUGAAAGCCCCGGGCUCAACCUGGGAACGGCAUCCGGAACUGUCAGGCUAGAGUGCAGGAGAGGAAGGUAGAAUUCCCGGUGUAGCGGUGAAAUGCGUAGAGAUCGGGAGGAAUACCAGUGGCGAAGGCGGCCUUCUGGACUGACACUGACGCUGAGGUGCGAAAGCGUGGGUAGCAAACAGGAUUAGAUACCCCUAUAGUC